CCUACGGGCGGCAGCAGUGGGGGAUAUUGCACAAUGGGGGGAACCCUGAUGCAGCGACGCUGCGUGGGUGAAGAAGCGCCUCGGCGCGUAAAGCCCUGUCAGCAGGGAAGAAAAUGACGGUAUCUGAAGAAGAAGCCCCGGCUAACUACGUGCCAGCAGCCGCGGGAAUACGUAGGGGGCAAGCGUUAUCCGGAUUUACUGGGUGUAAAGGGGGCGCAGACGGCGAUGCAAGCCAGGAGUGAAAGCCCGGGGCCCAACCCCGGGACUGCUCUUGGAACUGCGUGGCUGGAGUGCAGGAGGGGCAGGCGGAAUUCCUGGUGUAGCGGUGAAAUGCGUAGAUAUCAGGAGGAACACCGGUGGCGAAGGCGGCCUGCUGGACUGCAACUGACGUUGAGGCCCGAAAGCGUGGGGAGCAAACAGGAUUAGAUACCCUAGUAGUC
rnacentral:rRNA from 1 species